CGCUGUGCGCCUUCACUCCUCCGCGUCUCAGCCCCUGCAGUGGCGCACUGCAGCAUCGUCUUACUUCUCUUGACAUCCACGGGGCCGCCCUGCGCCCUCUGCCAUCUGUCAGCCCUGCGACAGGCCAAGUGAUGUGCCUCAUGUACUGGUUAGACAGCUCUGCAUACUGCCAACCCUUCUAGUGGGGAGCUUUGCGCCUGAAAGCCUGUUUGCUGUUUGCUGAUGAUGGGAGGAGGAAGAACAGAGUCCUGGCUGUGAGCGAAUGGUUAAAUCAGUGUGCUUUGCAGGGUACUCUAAGAACCAGAGCUCUCUAAAAAUGCGGAUUCCUGCGCCCCACCUUAAACAUCCAACAGUGGAAUUUGUAUCAGUACUGUGCAUCAGAAACGUAUGACUUUUCAAACACGGCUCUCAGGCAGUUCCUACACAUAUUAAAUGUUGAGGCUUAUUCACCAUCCACGCUUUCAUGAUGCCCGUGGCCCUGGGGUGAGUACCAGCUACUUCACCCACCUCCAAGGCUGUUGGGAGAUACACCACAGCUGUGAAUGUCAAGUGGCACCUUGCAUGUAAAAGCACUAACCUGCUGAGUACCACGAGAUGACAGAAUGACAGACACGAUAUUCGGGAUGCUUUUGCAUGCUAUUGUUUUUCUCCUGUGCCCAUCGGAAGAAAGGAGGAAAAAAAGAAAAGGAAAAAGGAGAGGGGAAAAAACUCCAUCCAGUUCAAGGUGUGUUUCUGAUGUGCCUGGUAGGCAACACAGGCAAAUGGAGCCCAGAGCCAGAAUGAUUCAUCCAAACCAGCCAGCCACAAUUUCAAGCGCCCAGAGAGGUGGCCGCAUCUUUGCUGAGUGGACAGGCUGGGCCCGGGUGAGGGUGCCUGGUGACUACCGCAAGCUGCCGCCUUCAGACAGGUCAGGUGGAUGUGGACCCUGAGCAGUGGCAGGCCAGCCAAGAUGGAAUGGAGAUUUGACAUCUCUCUUCUGCUUCCUGGGUCUCUGAAUAUUUGCAGUCACUUCAUCCGUCUGGAGGGAUUCAUCUUUCUUCAACUGAAAAAGAAAUGGAAAGUGCCAGAAGGAAAGCACAGCCUUUUUCUCUCUCCUGUAAGAGUUGAGAUGGGUCAUGCUAAUACAGACAUUCUCUGUUUAACGAGUCCCAUUCCUGACUGGGUCCUUAAAUGAAUUGGUCGCAAAGAGAGGAAUCGCAAGUAGUAUGCACGUUACAAUUUUCAGAACAAAGACAUGUUCAAAGGAAACUCUAACCGGAUGACUUUUAUUUGUUUA